rnacentral:rRNA from 1 species
GACGAAGGUGGCAAGCGUUACUCGGAUUUACUAGGUGUAAAGCGUGGGCAGGUGGUUUGGUAAGUCUGCUGUGAAAGCUCCUGGCUUAACUGGGAGAGGCCAGUGGAUACUGCCAGGCUUGAAUAUGGGAGAGGUGACUGGAAUUCCUGGUGUAGCGGUGAAAUGCGUAGAUAUCAGGAGGAACAUCGAUGGCGAAAGCAGGUCACUGGACCAUUAUUGACACUCAUCCACGAAAGCUGGGGGAUCAAACAGG